AGUGGCGGCUAUGCUAGAGUUGUCCCACCUGAUCCCAUCUCGAACUCAGAAGUGAAAUACUCUAAGGCCGAUGAUAGUAGGUUUUCCUGCGAAAGUAGGUAGCCGCCGCUA
rnacentral:rRNA from 1 species